rnacentral:rRNA from 1 species
UAGUGGCGACCGGCGCACGGGUGAGUAACACGUAUCCAACCUGCCGAUAACUCGGGGAUAGCCUUUCGAAAGAAAGAUUAAUACCCGAUAGCAUAAUGAUUCCGCAUGGUUUCAUUAUUAAAGGAUUCCGGUAAAGGAUGGGGAUGCGUUCCAUUAGGUUGUUGGUGAGGUAACGGCUCACCAAGCCUUCGAUGGAUAGGGGUUCUGAGAGGAAGGUCCCCCACAUUGGAACUGAGACACGGUCCAA